rnacentral:rRNA from 1 species
CAGUAGCCGCGGUAAUACGUAGGGUGCAAGCGUUAAUCGGAAUUACUGGGCGUAAAGCGUGCGCAGGCGGUUUGUUAAGACAGAUGUGAAAUCCCCGGGCUCAACCUGGGAACUGCAUUUGUGACUGGCAAGCUAGAGUCUGGCAGAGGAUGGUGGAAUUCCCGGUGUAGCGGUGAAGUGCGUAGAGAUCGGGAGGAACAUCAGUGGCGAAGGCGGCCAUCUGGGACAACACUGACGCUGAGGCACGAAAGCGUGGGGAGCAAACAGGAUUAGAUACCCCCGUAGUCCCUGUCUCUUAUAC